GAUGAACGCUGGCGGCGUGCCUAAUACAUGCAAGUCGAGCGAACAGAUAAGGAGCUUGCUCCUUUGACGUUAGCGGCGGACGGGUGAGUAACACGUGGGUAACCUACCUAUAAGACUGGGAUAACUUCGGGAAACCGGAGCUAAUACCGGAUAACAUUUGGAACCGCAUGGUUCUAAAGUGAAAGAUGGUUUUGCUAUCACUUAUAGAUGGACCCGCGCCGUAUUAGCUAGUUGGUAAGGUAACGGCUUACCAAGGCAACGAUACGUAGCCGACCUGAGAGGGUGAUCAGCCACACUGGAACUGAGACACGGUCCAGACUCCUACGGGAGGCAGCAGUAGGGAAUCUUCCACAAUGGGCGAAAGCCUGACGGAGCAACGCCGCGUGAGUGAUGAAGGGUUUCGGCUCGUAAAACUCUGUUAUUAGGGAAGAACAAAUGUGUAAGUAACUGUGCACGUCUUGACGGUACCUAAUCAGAAAGCCACGGCUAACUACGUG
rnacentral:rRNA from 1 species